CCCCACUAUGCCUAGCCCUUAACCACAAUAAUUAUCCUACCAUAAAUUCGCCAGAGAACUACAAGCAAAAUGCUUUAAACUCAAAGGACUUGGCGGUGUCCCAAAUCCCCCUAGAGGAGCCUGUCCUAUAAUCGAUACUCCACGCUAUACCAAACCAUCUUUUGCCACUACAGCCUAUAUACCGCCGUCGCCAGCCUACCCCAUGAGGGGAAAAAAGAAGGCAAAACCGCCCAUCCGCGAAAACGUCAGGUCGAGGUGUAGCUAAUAAGAUGGAAAGUGAUGGGCUACAUUUUCUGCAACAGAAAACACGAAAAGCACAAUGAAACUUGUUCUAGAAGGCGGAUUUAGUAGUAAAAUAAAAAGACUGCUUAUUUUAAACCAACACUG
rnacentral:rRNA from 1 species